UGGCUCAGGACGAACGCUGGCGGCGUGCCUAAUACAUGCAAGUAGAACGCUGAGGACUGGUGCUUGCACCGGUCCAAGGAGUUGCGAACGGGUGAGUAACGCGUAGGUAACCUACCUCAUAGCGGGGGAUAACUAUUGGAAACGAUAGCUAAUACCGCAUAAAAGUGUUUAACCCAUGUUAAACAUUUAAAAGGUGCAAUUGCAUCACUAUGAGAUGGACCUGCGUUGUAUUAGCUAGUUGGUGAGGUAACGGCUCACCAAGGCGACGAUACAUAGCCGACCUGAGAGGGUGAUCGGCCACACUGGGACUGAGACACGGCCCAGACUCCUACGGGAGGCAGCAGUAGGGAAUCUUCGGCAAUGGACGGAAGUCUGACCGAGCAACGCCGCGUGAGUGAAGAAGGUUUUCGGAUCGUAAAGCUCUGUUGUUAGAGAAGAAUGAUGGUGGGAGUGGAAAAUCCACCAUGUGACGGUAACUAACCAGAAAGGGACGGCUAACUACGUGCCAGCAGCCGCGGUAA
rnacentral:rRNA from 1 species